GAGAUUUCCCAUUCCUAUAUGGAAGUAAGACCCCUGAAAGAUGAUCAGGUAGAUAGGCUGGAAGUGGAAGUGCAGCGAUGCAUGGAGCGGACCAGUACUAAUCGGUCGAGGACUUAACCAA
rnacentral:rRNA from 1 species